UACGUAGGCAGCAAGCGUUGUUCGGAGUUACUGGGCGUAAAGAGUGCGUAGGCGGUUUUCUAAGUUUGGUGUGAAAUCUCCCGGCUUAACUGGGAGGGUGCGCCGAAGACUGGAAGGCUUGAGUAUGGGAGAGGUAAGCGGAAUUCCUGGUGUAGCGGUGAAAUGCGUAGAUAUCAGGAGGAACACCUGCGGUGUAGACGGCUUACUGGACCAUCACUGACGCUGAGGCACGAAAGCGUGGGUAGCAAACAGG
rnacentral:rRNA from 1 species